rnacentral:rRNA from 1 species
GGUUGCAAGCGUUAAUCGGAUUUACUGGGCGUAAAGCGUGUGUAGGUGGUUAUACAAGUCGGUUGUGAAAUCCCUGGGCUCAACCUGGGAACUGCUUCCGAGACUGCAUGACUAGAGAUCGGUAGAGGGCGGUGGAAUUUCCGGUGUAGCGGUGAAAUGCGUAGAUAUCGGAAGGAACACCAAUGGCGAAGGCAGCCGCCUGGGCCUGAUCUGACACUGAGACACGAAAGCGUGGGGAUCAAACAGGAUUAGAUACCCUGGUAGUCCACGCCGUAAACGAUGGGUACUUGACGUCGGUACGCUCUGCGUAUCGGUGUCGCAGCUAACGCGAUAAGUACCCCGCCUGGGGAGUACGGCCGCAAGGUUG